ACCUCAAAAUUAUAACGUAUGAAUGAAUUAAUUAUUUUUACAUUAUUAUUUGAAACGUGUAUUUUAUUGUUAUUUGAUAAAUACAAACUGGAUGGCUUCAUCGUGCAUGAUCACGCAAUUCUUGAUUUGUUCCAUGAUCAUAUUUACCCGCAAACUGUAAAUAAUCCGCUGCAGUGAUGAAUUAUAAGAAUCAAUAAUGAAUCUACGGCAACUGAAGUCACCACAACUAUAAUUGAUCCCCAAGCAAGUUGCAAAUAUACGUAGAAAAAAUAAUCGUCAUCGUUAAAAAAUAAAUAAUUAACUUUGAGAAGUUGUUGUCGCGAUCGAGUUUCAUUUAGUGGAAGAAAUACAUCUAAUGUAGGAGAAAUUAAUGGAAUCAAUAAGAACAAUACUAAAGCUGUUAAUAGUGCACCUAAAAAUAUGAAGUUUACUACUACGUACAAUGACAGAAGAUUUUCCAAUAAUUUUCCACUUAAAUUUGACGAACGAAUUCUUAAAAAAUAAAUUUAUUCGCAGUAUGUAUUUGUUCUCGGUGUUUUCAAUAACAAUAUCUACUGCCGAUGAUUCUCAUUUCGUUUCGAAGAAAAUGUAUAUAAACUUUGUUCUUUCAGAUUUCGUUAAAAUUAUUAAUUAUAAUAUAUUUUUAUGAUAAUAUUCAAUCUCAUGAAAAUUCAAUUAUAAUUAAUCAAUAUCAAUAAUAUUAAAAUAUUAAAUUCGAAUAUAUGAUUGUUAUAAAUAUAUUCAACAUAUAAAUGAUUAUACUAAAUACAUACAUAUUAUUUUCAAAUUCAGCAGAAAGAUCCAGAAGUAUCUGUCCAGGUCUAUUUAAAUUCU